GAUGAACGCUGGCGGCGUGCCUAAUACACGCAAGUCGAGCGAACAGACGAGGAGCUUGCUCCUCUGACGUUAGCGGCGGACGGGUGAGUAACACGUGGAUAACCUACCUAUAAGACUGGGAUAACUUCGGGAAACCGGAGCUAAUACCGGAUAAUAUAUUGAACCGCAUGGUUCAAUAGUGAAAGACGGUUUUGCUGUCACUUAUAGAUGGAUCCGCGCCGCAUUAGCUAGUUGGUAAGGUAACGGCUUACCAAGGCAACGAUGCGUAGCCGACCUGAGAGGGUGAUCGGCCACACUGGAACUGAGACACGGUCCAGACUCCUACGGGAGGCAGCAGUAGGGAAUUUUCCGCAAUGGGCGAAAGCCUGACGGAGCAACGCCGCGUGAGUGAUGAAGGUCUUCGGAUCGUAAAACUCUGUUAUUAGGGAAGAACAAAUGUGUAAGUAACUAUGCACGUCUUGACGGUACCUAAUCAGAAAGCCACGGCUAACUACGUG
rnacentral:rRNA from 1 species